rnacentral:sRNA from 1 species
GUAACAUGACCUUUCGCUAAUAACGCGUACGUCCUGUACGCAACGCGAAAGCCAUCACGUCGUGUGAA